GACUUUCUUGUACAAUGCCUUGCAAGAAGAGCCUAUACCAAGCUGUUUUUUGGACGCACUUGUGUAACCUAAAGAGGCAAAGAUAAGUCUGCAGGAUUCCUACAGCUUAAGGCAGUCUGAUUCUCUGGAUAUAGUUGAGAUAUUAACACCAUGAUGUCAUUUCGUGUGCUAUGUGUACUGUGCCUUGUCUCGAGCAUUCUGGCGCUCAAGGCAUCGCCUGGCUGCAAAGAAAGCGGUUACCAAUGUAAGUUCGUGCUCUUUUGUCCACGGAGGAGGAGAAUAAAUCUCAGUGGAUGUGGAUUCCUGAAAACGUGCUGUCAGAAAAAGGAAACGGGUACCUGCUCAUCGAUGCACGGAUCCUGUCAAAAUAAAUCGAUGCCAUGCGCCGGACUUGUACACGGAAACAUGAAAUGCCAACAUGGACAGCACUGCUGUGUCCCCACUGUGCACUAGGGAAACUUGGUGACUGCAAGUACGCGGUUUUCACUGGUGUCUGUGGAUGACUUUUUCAUUCUUCUUGUGAUGCGUUUUAUGGAAUAAGCCUAAUAAAGGUUCGUAUAUUGCGUGAA
rnacentral:lncRNA from 1 species